rnacentral:rRNA from 1 species
AGAGUUUGAUCAUGGCUCAGGACGAACGCUGGCGGCGUGCCUAAUACAUGCAAGUAGAACGCUGAAGAGAGGAGCUUGCUCUUCUUGGAUGAGUUGCGAACGGGUGAGUAACGCGUAGGUAACCUGCCUUGUAGCGGGGGAUAACUAUUGGAAACGAUAGCUAAUACCGCAUAACAAUGGAUGACCCAUGUCAUUUAUUUGAAAGGGGCAAAUGCUCCACUACAAGAUGGACCUGCGUUGUAUUAGCUAGUAGGUGAGGUAACGGCUCACCUAGGCGACGAUACAUAGCCGACCUGAGAGGGUGAUCGGCCACACUGGGACUGAGAUACGGCCCAGACUCCUACGGGAGGCAGCAGUAGGGAAUCUUCGGCAAUGGGGGCAACCCUGACCGAGCAACGCCGCGUGAGUGAAGAAGGUUUUCGGAUCGUAAAGCUCUGUUGUAAGUCAAGAACGAGUGUGAGAGUGGAAAGUUCACACUGUGACGGUAGCUUACCAGAAAGGGACGGCUAACUACGUGCCAGCAGCCGCGGUAAUACGUAGGUCCCGAGCGUUGUCCGGAUUUAUUGGGCGUAAAGCGAGCGCAGGCGGUUUGAUAAGUCUGAAGUUAAAGGCUGUGGCUCAACCAUAGUUCGCUUUGGAAACUGUCAAACUUGAGUGCAGAAGGGGAGAGUGGAAUUCCAUGUGUAGCGGUGAAAUGCGUAGAUAUAUGGAGGAACACCGGUGGCGAAAGCGGCUCUCUGGUCUGUAACUGACGCUGAGGCUCGAAAGCGUGGGGAGCGAACAGGAUUAGAUACCCUGGUAGUCCACGCCGUAAACGAUGAGUGCUAGGUGUUGGAUCCUUUCCGGGAUUCAGUGCCGCAGCUAACGCAUUAAGCACUCCGCCUGGGGAGUACGACCGCAAGGUUGAAACUCAAAGGAAUUGACGGGGGCCCGCACAAGCGGUGGAGCAUGUGGUUUAAUUCGAAGCAACGCGAAGAACCUUACCAGGUCUUGACAUCCCGAUGCUAUUUCUAGAGAUAGAAAGUUACUUCGGUACAUCGGUGACAGGUGGUGCAUGGUUGUCGUCAGCUCGUGUCGUGAGAUGUUGGGUUAAGUCCCGCAACGAGCGCAACCCCUAUUGUUAGUUGCCAUCAUUCAGUUGGGCACUCUAGCGAGACUGCCGGUAAUAAACCGGAGGAAGGUGGGGAUGACGUCAAAUCAUCAUGCCCCUUAUGACCUGGGCUACACACGUGCUACAAUGGUUGGUACAACGAGUUGCGAGUCGGUGACGGCAAGCUAAUCUCUUAAAGCCAAUCUCAGUUCGGAUUGUAGGCUGCAACUCGCCUACAUGAAGUCGGAAUCGCUAGUAAUCGCGGAUCAGCACGCCGCGGUGAAUACGUUCCCGGGCCUUGUACACACCGCCCGUCACACCACGAGAGUUUGUAACACCCGAAGUCGGUGAGGUAACCUUUUGGAGCCAGCCGCCUAAGGUGGGAUAGAUGAUUGGGGUGAAGUCGUAACAAGGUA